AUAGACCUCUAUAUUUGUAUUUAGUUUUCUGUCCAGACUAAGUGUAGUCUAAAGGUGUUAAUCCUGGUGGAUUAGAGAAAAGGUUUACAAACAGGUUCAAGGAAGCAAAGGUGCUUAAGGAGUGCAUAGGUGCACAAGGAGCAAGAGUGCUCAGGAGAAAUUAAUUGUUAUUAAUUAUUGUAAGAAUCUAUUUUGUAAUCAGUGUUUAUUUAUAAAGAAAGAAAU
rnacentral:lncRNA from 1 species